UCGGAUUAGCUAGUUGGUGAGGUAAUGGCUCACCAAGGCGACGAUCCGUAACUGGUCUGAGAGGAUGAUCAGUCACACUGGAACUGAGACACGGUCCAGACUCCUACGGGAGGCAGCAGUGGGGAAUAUUGGACAAUGGGCGAAAGCCUGAUCCAGCCAUGCCGCGUGUGUGAAGAAGGUCUUCGGAUUGUAAAGCACUUUAAGUUGGGAGGAAGGGCAGUAAGCGAAUACCUUGCUGUUUUGACGUUACCGACAGAAUAAGCACCGGCUAACUCUGUGCCAGCAGCCGCGGUAAUACAGAGGGUGCAAGCGUUAAUCGGAAUUACUGGGCGUAAAGCGCGCGUAGGUGGUUUGUUAAGUUGAAUGUGAAAUCCCCGGGCUCAACCUGGGAACUGCAUCCAAAACUGGCAAGCUA
rnacentral:rRNA from 11 species